UACGUAGGGUGCGAGCGUUAAUCUGAAUUACUGGGCGUAAAGCGUGCGCAGGCGGUUUUGUAAGCCCGAUGUGAAAUCCCCGGGCUUAACCUGGGAAUGGCAUUUGGGACUGCAAGGCUUGAGUGCGGCAGAGGAGACUGGAAUUCCUGGUGUAGCAGUGAAAUGCGUAGAUAUCAGGAGGAAUACCGAUGGCGAAGGCAGGUCUCUGGGCUGACACUGACGCUCAUGCACGAAAGCGUGGGGAGCAAACAGG
rnacentral:rRNA from 1 species